CUGAAGUCAGGAAGCACUGCGCGACUUUCCCAACGUCUGAGGACUGAGGGUUGUACCACUGCUAAGCUGGAGCAACUGAGUCAGAGCCAGUUCACAUGCUUGAGACCAGGCUCUGCUUCACUAAUUAUGGUUGUUUUUUCUCCCAGUUAUCAAGGUGGAAGCCCUUAGGUCCUACAGAGCUCUUUCUGCCAGUGGCUACCAUUGUGCAGCAGAGUGAGCCCCAGUUUCUACCAUGAAGCUGUGUCCACCACCGGAUGCACCGUGAGGAAUGCCUUAGGCUGCUGCAGGGAGCCACACAGAAGUGGGGAUGUCUAGCCAUUAAGUUCACGGUGCUCAGUUCAAGUUCACAGUCUAUCGGUCUGACUCCUGAGAUGACCUUGUGGUAGGAUGACCCAAGUCAUCUUCCCUUUCUUACGGACAGCUGAAAUGUUCUCAGGCAUCUUCUGCUUUUGGGG
rnacentral:lncRNA from 1 species